CUCACGCUCCUCCUAUGCCGCGGCAGCGGCAGUGGUGGCGGCGGCAGCGUCGCCAGCCUGAUCCCAUGGUCCUCCCGGACGCCCAGCUCGCGCAGCUGCAGCAGGAGCGUGUCCACGCUCGGCGUGCCAUCGGCGUCGUGGACGGUGGUCGGCGCGGGCGCGGUGACCCUCGUCGUCUUCGCCGACCUCGCGGUAGCACUUGACGUCGUAGCUCAUACGCAUAUACGCCGGGUACAGACGGCCGCAUGUACAUGCGUCUUCACGUAUAUAUUAGCCAAGCAUGUGUAUAUGGCUGAGCACACUCACAUCGGAGGAGCGUGGAUGCAGGGGGUGCAGCGGAAGGCGAGCGCGGCGGAGGAGCGGCGGCGGGCGAGCGCAGCGGUGGGCAAAGCAGCGGAGGGCGAGCUAGGCGAAGCGGAAGACAGUGGAAGGGACGAGGAGCUCCCCCGUGCUCGGUCGCCACCACCGCCGUGCCCCCGC
rnacentral:lncRNA from 1 species